rnacentral:rRNA from 1 species
UACAGAGGUCUCAAGCGUUGUUCGGAUUCAUUGGGCGUAAAGGGUGCGUAGGUGGCGCUGUAAGUCAGAUGUGAAAGCCCCGGGCUUAACCUGGGAAUUGCAUUUGAUACUCUGGAGCUUGAGUACGGGAGAGGAGAGUGGAAUUCCCAGUGUAGCGGUGAAAUGCGUAGAGAUCGGGAGGAACACCGGCGGCGAAGGCGGCUGCCCUGGACCGGCCCUGACGCUGAGGCGGCGAAAGCUAGGGGAGCAAACACGG